CUAGCAUUUUGGUCACUUCUAUAGAUCCUGGUUGUGCUCAAAUUUACACGGGGUGGCUGUCUCUCUUCUAUACUUCUAUAGAUCAGGUUUCUCCGCUUAUGUUUAGCCUUUGUUAGGUAUACCUCUUUGCUGUCUUGAUGUGCGCAUGUGCUACCUUCUAAUAUUCAUGCCUCAUUGCAUUCUAAUAUUUUCCUUGCUUGUACUCAGGUUCCAGCUGUUAUUUCAAUGCAUCUUAUUCAUGGAUGCAUGCUUUACAUGCUCUUCUAGCAUAUGUUUGUUCUUGUGUUGCUUUCUCUUAUCUCCUAACUGCCUCUUGAGUGCAGGAAAAUGCCUCAAUUAAUUAGUUUGUCGCUCCGUUAGUCUCCAUGGUCAGAUGAUGCUUCAGGAAAACUGGUGUUUAUCUACAUGAGGGACCUGGUUGUAUUACCUACUACAUGCAUCGUUAACUGGGCACCAAAAAACCUAGAUUGUGCAUCUCUGUUUGUUCAUGUGGUGAUUAUCCUAUUGUUUUCGGCAUCAGGCCCUAUGCUCCUAUAGCUUGAAUUAGGGUGGUGCCAGUGAUUCACAAGCAAGGUGAAGUCAUUCAAGUAUUGGCCACUACUAUCUGCAUUAGCUUCGCCUCAGAAAAUAACCUUUUCACUUGGAAGGAGGAAGUAGGAGUUCUCAGUAAUGGUUAACUACAAGCUACAGUAGAUGUUCUUUGAUUAACAAAGACAAAUGUCCUACUAUUAUCGAUGUUUCCAGAGCUUCGUUCUCAAUUUGUCUGUUAUCUCAUUAUGUUUAUGAGCAGCUCCAAAAUCUGACACUUAUGCUUGCCAGUAUGAAUUUCUUGGCUAUAUUUUAUAGAACUUAUGUCUUGACGCUUUGUACUGAACUUGAUGCAGUCCAAUUCAAGUCAGUUGUCCUGAGCAAGCACUAUGUCUUGCUUUUGGUACACUUUGUGCCUUUAUGCUUUGUAGUAAAGUUCAAGGCCAGUUGUCUUGGGAACAACUA